UACGGAGGGUGCGAGCGUUAAUCGGAAUUACUGGGCGUAAAGAGUGCGUAGGUGGUAGAUUAAGUUAUCUGUGAAAUCCCUGGGCUUAACCUGGGCAGGUCAGAUAAUACUGGUUUACUCGAGUAUGGGAGAGGGUAGUGGAAUUUCCGGUGUAGCGGUGAAAUGCGUAGAGAUCGGAAGGAACACCAGUGGCGAAGGCGGCUACCUGGCCUAAUACUGACGCUGAGGUGCGAAAGCGUGGGGAGCAAACAGG
rnacentral:rRNA from 1 species